UAGGGAAUCUUCGGCAAUGGACGAAAGUCUGACCGAGCAACGCCGCGUGAGUGAAGAAGGUUCUCGGAUCGUAAAACUCUGUUGUUAGAGAAGAACAAGGACGUUAGUAACUGAACGUCCCCUGACGGUAUCUAACCAGAAAGCCACGGCUAACUACGUGCCAGCAGCCGCGGUAAUACGUAGGUGGCAAGCGUUGUCCGGAUUUAUUGGGCGUAAAGCGAGCGCAGGCGGUUUCUUAAGUCGGAUGUGAAAGCCCCCGGCUCAACCGGGGAGGGUCAUUGGAAACUGGGAGACUUGAGUGCAGAAGAGGAGAGUGAAAUUCCAUGUGUAGCGGUGAAAUGCGUAGAUAUAUGGAGGAACACCAGUGGCGAAGGCGGCUCUCUGAUCUGUAACUGACGCUGAGGCUCGAAAGCGUGGGGAGCAAACAGG
rnacentral:rRNA from 1 species